rnacentral:rRNA from 1 species
UACGUAGGUGGCAAGCGUUAUCCGGAAUUAUUGGGCGUAAAGCGCGCGUAGGCGGUUUUUUAAGUCUGAUGUGAAAGCCCACGGCUCAACCGUGGAGGGUCAUUGGAAACUGGAAAACUUGAGUGCAGAAGAGGAAAGUGGAAUUCCAUGUGUAGCGGUGAAAUGCGCAGAGAUAUGGAGGAACACCAGUGGCGAAGGCGACUUUCNUGGUCUGUAACUGACGCUGAUGUGCGAAAGCGUGGGGAUCAAACAGGAUUAGAUA